rnacentral:rRNA from 1 species
GAUGAACGCUAGCGGCGGGCUUAAUACAUGCAAGUCGAGGGGCAGCACGAUGUAGCAAUACAUUGGUGGCGACCGGCGGACGGGUGCGUAACACGUAUGCAACUUGCCCUAUACUAGGGAAUAGCCCGAAGAAAUUCGGAUUAAUACCCUAUAACAACCGGGAAGGCAUCUUUCUGGGUUCAAAGCUCCCGCGGUAUAGGAUGGGCAUGCGGUCGCUGAGCUUGAUGGUGAGGUAACGGCUCACACAGGCGCCGAUCGAUAGGGGGCCUGGGAGGGUGAGCCCCCACACUGGUACUGAGACACGGACCAGAAUCCUACGGGAGGAAGCAGUAAGGAAUAUUGGUCAAUGGGCGCAAGCCUGAACCAGCCACGCCGCGUGAAGGAAGACGGCCCUAUGGGUUGUAAACUUCUUUUCUACGGGAAUAAACCUCAGGACGUGUCCUGAGCUGAAGGUAUCGUAGGAAUAAGGAUCGGCUAACUCCGUGCCAGCCGCCGCAGUAAUAC